UUCUUCCUCCUGUCUUCUCGCUCCCGUCGACCCGACAGCCUACAACCCAGCAGGCGCCACGAGCCUUACCCCCUUGCUCUCUCCACCCACCCCUCCCCAUCAAACGGUGCUGGGCGUCCUAGGUUGCCUCGCCCUUCACCCGUCGUGAGUUUGACACUCUCCCUCCCGGACCUCUCGUCCCUGCCGUUGCCCCUGCUGGCCCACCUUGCCCUGGGGCACGACCACCGACUCACUUUGCCGCCGAUCCAUACGCCGGUUCAUGUCCGACCAACGACCGCUACCCUCCUCGGAUCCCGUCCACCGCCCUCCCCGCAUCCUGGCCGGCCGCUGCUCUCCCGCCGCAGGCUCCCGUUCGGCGGCCCGCGCUCCCCGCGAACGGCGGCUGGCAGCAAGCCGCUGGCGGCGCACGACAUCUCCACGUCCAUGUGGCACGACACACGUCUCUGGGACGUGCUGCUCCGAUGCGGUAUCAAGGGUGCCGCGGACAGCGUCACCAACGUGUGAUUUGUGGCGCCGAGGACCUCCCCGGUGGGGUCGACGACAACUGCAAGUACGACACCAGCCUGCAACGCAUCUCGGAUCUCGGAUUUUUUGCCACCAAUCAGCAAGAGCGGCAGGAGGGAGCAGAGCUGGAGAUGGGGCGGUGCUGGUGCUGCUGCCGGUGCCUAAAGCUGCUCUGCUUGGUUCUCCUCCCACCGAUCAGCUUGUGCCUCGGCCGCAGCUGCUGCUCCAAUCUGUCCCCAUUCUCAUCGUCGAAGAUCUGCUCUGUCUUCUAUGGUGCCUAGAGUCAGCCUUCAGGGAGAGACCGCUCCCGCAGGCCAAGAAGUCGUGGGGCUCCGAGAUUGCCAGUAGCGGUGGCCGGAGCUCCUCCGAUGUUUCCACACCAUAUGCUACAACGUUUUGUGCUUCCACGCCGGAUGCCACAAUAGACAAGCUGAGGAAGAAAGGUUAAAAUUGUUGAGACAAAGGAUAUAUGUACCAUAUCACUGCUCCUCUAUCAAGCAUCGGGUUCUCAUUCUGUAUAUAGUUUUACCAUUAUUACAUCCAUUUUCCUUAUCAAAUGAAUAUCCAUUUUAUCCCUAGGAAGAAUGGGAUAAAUGUUAUUAAUUAGGUACGUGAUAUUCGUGAAAGGCACUGUGACUUUACUAUAUGAAUAUGCUCAAAUCACUUUAACAUAAAACUCUUUAUAUAACAGAUGGUAACAGAACUGUUACUUAUAUUUCCUCCAACCAUUCUAGACGAUUUACCCUACAAUCUUUCAGUUCCUUCAUUAAUACUUUUCUUUUCAAUUCAUGCCUGAUUUCCUAUACAACACACAAAUGACUAUAUGUACUAAGGAUAGAAAUAAAACUGCUACUUAUGUUUUAUAGCUCCACCUAGUUUAGAAUCAUAGAUUUUCCUCCCUGUGCAAGCAUUAUAUUAUUGUUUUUUUGGAUUGGUUAACUAACAGUUCUCGAUGAGUAUUUGCUGCAACCACUGUUGUUCUUUUUCCUUUUUAAUCUAUUCAAGGAUUGCUAGUGGCCGAAGGGCACUGCCACCUUCUUUUGCUUUUACGUGAUGCAAGGCCAUUGUUAUGUAUUCCAUGUUUAUUAUUACUUCGAACAUGGCUAGAAUACAAUGGUUCAGCAUCAGCUUAAUCCAUGGAAGGUAUGGGGUUGGAUUGUCCUCAGCUGUUUAUUAAUCCUGUAGCACGUCAUUUACUGACUAUUGUGUUUAAAUGGGGAAGGAUGAUGGAGAUACAAUAAGCACGAAAGUCAUUAUUAAUUUUAGCCUUGGCGCUAUAUGUUUGUUAGCCGAGGUUACAUUGUUCUUCUUUUGGAAUAGACAAAAAAAUGAGAGCCUUCACUGUUGUUUAUUUAGUAGAGGUUGAGAUCGUAUUUCAAAUUAUUAAGAACACUACUGUUUUAGAUUCUUUCAAAUAUUCAUACGUUUGAAAAAACUCGCAUUCUCCAUGAUUUUUUGGUCAUAGAGAAUGUAAUAAAAUUUUGGUAAAUAGCAUUGAUACUCACAUACUAUAUUAUUUUCCUUUGUGUUGAGGAUUAAUGCAACCACAGUGUUGUGGUUUGAACACUAAUCGAGAAGGCCUCUUUACUGUUGUCUAGAUCUGUUAUAAUUUUCAUUUACAUGCUUCCAUACACUUUAAUAUUAGUAAUACAAUUGUAGUUAGCAGAUUAAAAACUUAGUUAAACAUAUGUGUACUCACGUAUUUAUUGUUUUUCUGUACAUCAAGGAUUCCCAUGGACAUGUGGUUGUCCAUUGCACAUAUAUUGAUAGGAAUGUUCAGCUCCUUUUUAGACAGGAUCAAGAAAAAUGUCCCUUCCAAUGAAAGUAAUAGGUCAACAUGUCUUGAUUUCACCAGGUGCCGUUGCUCAAGUUGCAGCCGGAGGUUGCAGCUACACAGGACACAAAUUCAGGUGCAUUUUACACCUACAUAUCUUCCUACAAACAUGUUUUUUCUCCUAACAUUUUGUAUGUUACCGUAAAAUUACUUUGUACACUAUAGAUAUAAACGGUUUCAUCUCAGAUGACACAACAACUGAAAUAUUUUGCUUUGACAACAUUGCUAAACAUAUUCUUGGAAAACCUUAUGAACCCUGAUGUUGUGAACACCUUUAUGCAGUAGAUAGCUAAUGUAUUUUUAUGAUAUUAAUUAUGCCCCUAGGACAUGUUGCUACAACAGACCCUUCUGCGUGUAAGUAUAGGACUAUAGGUGAUAGGUUGAUAUCUCAGGCUACCAACCAACAAACUUUCUAGAAACGUACUUAUGCUGGUGAGUACAAUGCUGCUUGGAACAUGUUGAACUAAUAUGGUUAAUAUAUUUUUUAUGGCUUUUGUUGUACUCGAUUAUACAAGCCUACAUAUAUUGCAUCAUUAGUACAAGCAAAUCUUCUAUACAUGGGCUUCUACCUGCCAACUCUUUUCUAUUGACUUUACACUAUGAGUUUCAUGAUAACUUACUUAUCAUGUUUCUUACAUACAUAUACUGAGUUUUAUAUUAACUUAUAUAUAUCAUGUUUCUGUAUAUUUUAAGGUCCUGCAAUCUAAUUUGACAUCGCACAUCGCGCGCUGGACGCGCGACAUACACUAGUAAUACAAUCCAUAUUCCUUUGUUUUCAAUUUUAUGACCUUAUCACUAGGUGCAUCAUAGUCAUACGAGCCAGCUUGCAGUUUUCUGCGUGGUUCAUCAUGCACCUUCUCACUCGAUUAAUUUUGUGCCGACAGAAAAAUGGUUGUGGCUCUUAUGUUUCAGUGUUUCUAAGUAGAUAAAAGUAGUAAUGGAUGAACGAAGAGGGACAUAACAGAUGGUGUCCUGAUACGCACUUAUCUUAUCGAGGAAGAAAAGAUUCAGGACAGGACGAAUAGAGGAGAGCAGUGUGAGGUGAGCUCGAGGAUCCAACUCUGUCUCCACGAUCGCUAGGUGUGAAAUUCUCGGGGGUGUGGUGAGAGUGAGGAGCAUCCAGCUCUUUAUCUCCACCUGCUGCUGGUGUGAGUGUGACACUGAUGAUGAUGGGGUAACUGUUUUCAAGUCGUUCGAAUAAUCACGAUUAA